rnacentral:rRNA from 1 species
UACGUAGGGUGCGAGCGUUAAUCGGAAUUAUUGGGCGUAAAGCGUGCGCAGGCGGUGAUGUAAGUCAGAUGUGAAAUCCCCGGGCUUAACCUGGGAACUGCGUUUGAAACUGGAAGGCUUGAGUGUGGCAGAGGGGGGUAGAAUUCCACGUGUAGCAGUGAAAUGCGUAGAGAUGUGGAGGAACACCGAUGGCGAAGGCAGCCCCCUGGGCUAACACUGACGCUCAUGCACGAAAGCGUGGGGAGCAAACAGG